GGUUAAGCGACUAAGCGUACACGGUGGAUGCCCUGGCAGUCAGAGGCGAUGAAGGACGUGCUAAUCUGCGAAAAGCGCCGGCGAGGUGAUAUGAACCUUUGACCCGGCGAUGUCCGAAUGGGGAAACCCAGUGUGAUUCGUCACACUAUCGUUAACUGAAUACAUAGGUUAACGAGGCGAACCGGGGGAACUGAAACAUCUAAGUACCCCGAGGAAAAGAAAUCAACCGAGAUUCCCCCAGUAGCGGCGAGCGAACGGGGAGCAGCCCGGAGUCUGAAUCAGCUUGUGUGUUAGUGGAACGGUCUGGAAAGUCCGACGGUACAGGGUGAUAGUCCCGUACACGAAAAUGCACAGGUUGUGAACUCGAAGAGUAGGGCGGGACACGUGGUAUCCUGUCUGAAUAUGGGGGGACCAUCCUCCAAGGCUAAAUACUCCUGACUGACCGAUAGUGAACCAGUACCGUGAGGGAAAGGCGAAAAGAACCCCGGCGAGGGGAGUGAAAAAGAACCUGAAACCGUGUACGUACAAGCAGUGGGAGCCUACUUGUUAGGUGACUGCGUACCUUUUGUAUAAUGGGUCAGCGACUUAUAUUCUGUAGCAAGGUUAACCGUAUAGGGGAGCCGAAGGGAAACCGAGUCUUAACUGGGCGUUAAGUUGCAGGGUAUAGACCCGAAACCCGGUGAUCUAGCCAUGGGCAGGUUGAAGGUUGGGUAACACUAACUGGAGGACCGAACCGACUAAUGUUGAAAAAUUAGCGGAUGACCUGUGGCUGGGGGUGAAAGGCCAAUCAAACCGGGAGAUAGCUGGUUCUCCCCGAAAGCUAUUUAGGUAGCGCCUCGUGAAUUCAUCUUCGGGGGUAGAGCACUGUUUCGGCUAGGGGGCCAUCCCGGCUUACCAACCCGAUGCAAACUACGAAUACCGAAGAAUGUUAUCACGGGAGACACACGGCGGGUGCUAACGUCCGUCGUGAAGAGGGAAACAACCCAGACCGCCAGCUAAGGUCCCAAAGUCAUGGUUAAGUGGGAAACGAUGUGGGAAGGCACAGACAGCCAGGAUGUUGGCUUAGAAGCAGCCAUCAUUUAAAGAAAGCGUAAUAGCUCACUGGUCGAGUCGGCCUGCGCGGAAGAUGUAACGGGGCUAAACCAUGCACCGAAGCUGCGGCAGCGACGCUUAUGCGUUGUUGGGUAGGGGAGCGUUCUGUAAGCCGUUGAAGGUGGCCUGUGAGGGUUGCUGGAGGUAUCAGAAGUGCGAAUGCUGACAUAAGUAACGAUAAAGCGGGUGAAAAGCCCGCUCGCCGGAAGACCAAGGGUUCCUGUCCAACGUUAAUCGGGGCAGGGUGAGUCGACCCCUAAGGCGAGGCCGAAAGGCGUAGUCGAUGGGAAACAGGUUAAUAUUCCUGUACUUGGUGUUACUGCGAAGGGGGGACGGAGAAGGCUAUGUUAGCCGGGCGACGGUUGUCCCGGUUUAAGCAUGUAGGCGGAGGUUCCAGGUAAAUCCGGUACCUUUUAACGCUGAGGUGUGAUGACGAGGCACUACGGUGCUGAAGUAACAAAUGCCCUGCUUCCAGGAAAAGCCUCUAAGCAUCAGGUAACACGAAAUCGUACCCCAAACCGACACAGGUGGUCAGGUAGAGAAUACCAAGGCGCUUGAGAGAACUCGGGUGAAGGAACUAGGCAAAAUGGUGCCGUAACUUCGGGAGAAGGCACGCUGAUAUGUAGGUGAAGCCCCUGCGGGUGGAGCUGAAAUCAGUCGAAGAUACCAGCUGGCUGCAACUGUUUAUUAAAAACACAGCACUGUGCAAACACGAAAGUGGACGUAUACGGUGUGACGCCUGCCCGGUGCCGGAAGGUUAAUUGAUGGGGUUAGCGGUAACGCGAAGCUCUUGAUCGAAGCCCCGGUAAACGGCGGCCGUAACUAUAACGGUCCUAAGGUAGCGAAAUUCCUUGUCGGGUAAGUUCCGACCUGCACGAAUGGCGUAAUGAUGGCCAGGCUGUCUCCACCCGAGACUCAGUGAAAUUGAACUCGCUGUGAAGAUGCAGUGUACCCGCGGCAAGACGGAAAGACCCCGUGAACCUUUACUAUAGCUUGACACUGAACACUGGUCCUUGAUGUGUAGGAUAGGUGGGAGGCUUUGAAGCGUGGACGCCAGUCUGCGUGGAGCCGACCUUGAAAUACCACCCUUUAAUGGCUGGUGUUCUAACGUAGACCCGUAAUCCGGGUUGCGGACAGUGUCUGGUGGGUAGUUUGACUGGGGCGGUCUCCUCCCAAAGAGUAACGGAGGAGCACGAAGGUUAGCUAAUCCUGGUCGGACAUCAGGAGGUUAGUGCAAUGGCAUAAGCUAGCUUGACUGCGAGAGUGACGGCUCGAGCAGGUGCGAAAGCAGGUCAUAGUGAUCCGGUGGUUCUGAAUGGAAGGGCCAUCGCUCAACGGAUAAAAGGUACUCCGGGGAUAACAGGCUGAUACCGCCCAAGAGUUCAUAUCGACGGCGGUGUUUGGCACCUCGAUGUCGGCUCAUCACAUCCUGGGGCUGAAGUAGGUCCCAAGGGUAUGGCUGUUCGCCAUUUAAAGUGGUACGCGAGCUGGGUUUAGAACGUCGUGAGACAGUUCGGUCCCUAUCUGCCGUGGGCGCUGGAGAAUUGAGGGGGGCUGCUCCUAGUACGAGAGGACCGGAGUGGACGCAUCACUGGUGUUCGGGUUGUCAUGCCAAUGGCACUGCCCGGUAGCUAAAUGCGGAAGAGAUAAGUGCUGAAAGCAUCUAAGCACGAAACUUGCCCCGAGAUGAGUUCUCCCUGAGACUAUAAGUCUCCUGAAGGAACGUUGAAGACGACGACGUUGAUAGGUCGGGUGUGUAAGCGCAGCGAUGCGUUGAGCUAACCGAUACUAAUGAACCGUGAGGCUUAACCUU
rnacentral:rRNA from 1 species